CUUCGAGCGAAACAUCCACGAGAACAAGGAUUGAAAC
rfam:Methanoregula formicica SMSP chromosome, complete genome.